AUGGAAGGUGGGGUCCAGCCCGGCUGAACGUCCUGUGAGCUCUUGUCUCUUAUUUUGGGCUCCUGGAGUGUAUGCAGGUUGGGGAACUCAGAGGGUACUUUCCACAGAUAAACCCCACCCACCCCCAGCAGGGGUGUGAAUUGCAGGAAAUGAAGAAAGUUCUCUCGGCCGUUUAAAAAUAGAUAAGCAAAAAAGGAGGAGAAGGAGAAAAGGAGAGAAGGAAGAGGAGAAGGAGAAAAAGAGAGAAAAGGGCACAAGGCAUAUGGGAUCUUAACUGCCCAGCCAGGGACUGAACCCUCAUCUCUUGCUCUGGAAGACAAAGUCCUAAUCACUGUUCCGCCAGGGAAGUCCCUACUACUUCGUUUGCAUAAAAGCAGAAAUACUAUAGCUUCUUCUGGAAGCCAAGGAGGAGCCGGAAAAUUACCUCCAAUCACGAUUCGGAAGCACAACCUCAGGCCUGAAGGCCAGAUGCGGGAUCUCCAGAGGCCAGCGCUGACCCCAGGAUGGCAGGCCGACAUCCAGUCUCAUGGCCUUCCUCGUGGAGAUAUGGCUGAACUAAAGAGCCUCUUGAUGAAAGUGAAAGAGAAGAGUGAAAAAGUUGGCUUAAAACUCAACAUUCCGAAAACUAAGAUCAUGGCAUCCAGUCCCAUCACUUCAUGGGAAGCUGGGUCCGGCUAAUGAUGAUGAAAGAUACGUGGAAAAGGCAAUCAGGCACGAAGCCAGGAUUUAGGUCGUCCAUUCGCGUCGAUCAGCCCUGUGCAGCGACUUCCUCACCUCUUAGAGGAGCCUCCCAGACUGGGCCUGGAAAUCAUCUCGUGAAGUGCAGCAUGUCACGUCACGGGAAUUGUGGACAGCUGCAAGAUGAACUGCAGCAGGACUGAGAUACUGCUGGAAUGCUCCUGUUCAUUUGCUGCAAUAAUUGUACAAAUGGUGCUGCCUCCCUUUUUCUAGCAUGUUUUCUUUUAGCAAUUCCAGAUAGGGCUGUGUUUCUAAAAAUUAAUCCUGUUUGGGCCACCAGAGAUCAAGCCUAUCAAACUGACUUUAGCGAGUGAUCAGUAUAUAAAGCCUACUUGAGACGUGAGUGUUGGAACUGUGCUGUGGGGUAGGCUUUAAACAUGGGCCCAGAAGGGCUUCCCAGAUGGCAUUAGUGGUAAAGAAUCCACCUGCCAGUGCAGGAAAUGCAAGAGAUCUGGGUUCAAUCUCUGGGUUGGGAAAAUCCCCUGGAGGAAGAAAUGGCAACCCCCU
ensembl:lncRNA